CUGCUAACUGCUGCAAUGCAGCACGCGGUGGUGGCCGGAGCGGGCGUCGCUCACUGCCGGUGUUGCAACGCAGCAUGCAAGGGGAGGCCGGCGGCGAGUGCUGCUCACUGCCGCAACACAUCACACGGUGGUUGCCGGAGGCGGGGUCGCUGACCGUCUGUACCGAGGGGUGGCAGCAACUGCUGGAGCAGUUGCGAGGGGCGGCGGCGGCUUCGUUGGCAAUUGCUACAAGACGGCCACGCAAAUGCAGUGAGAUGAAGGCUACAAGUGCGGUUGGCAUGCUGGGAGCAGUGCGGCGUGAUCGCCAUGAGACAUGGGUGCUGUUCCUCUCCUCGCACGCAAGUUGACAUUUUUGCUGCGGGGCUAGAGCAAAGGUACCAGGUGAUGAAUAGGAAGAUCCAACGGUGCACCAUCUGCAAUCGGAUGGCUAGCGAGGCGGUUGAACCUUUCCCAGGAUCAACCGGUUUAUUCGUAGCAGCGCCCUUUAAUAGUAGGUAUCUCUCUACUCCUAAUGUUUCAGUUGGUAGUCUCCGUUCCGGGUUUAUUUUCGUCCCACCACUUUCGUCCGGUUUUUUUCCGUCGGUUUUUUCGUCCCCUUCUCACACCCGAACUGCCCGGCCCGCUAAAAAAAUCCCUCGUCCGAUCCCCAACCUCCCCCCAUCCCAUCGCCGCUGCUGCCUACCCCUCCUCCUACCGGUGCGCCACCACUCCCGCCUCCUUCCGGCGCGCCGUCAUCCCCGCCUCCUACCGGCGCGCCGCCGGACCCUCCUUCUUCCCUGGAGCGCCGCCACCCCGCUGCCUCCUACCGGCGCGCCGUCGGACCCUCCUUCUUCCCUGGAGCGCCGCCACCCCGCUGCCCCCGCCAUCUCCCACCAUGGGGUAACCCUAGAUGGCGCCGGCCCGCCGCCGCCGACGUCGCUCCUUCUCCCUCGGCCCUCAGCCACCAAACGGCCGCUGCAUCACGCCGAUUAGGUCCUACCCCAGGACAGCCACGGGUGUCGUCAUCUCCAGAAGCCUGCCCCCAAAUCGUUGCCACCUGCGCCUCCGAUUCAUCCAACGUCGGUCAUCUCCCUCUUCGUCCUCCACGGGUGUUGCUCUGCCUAGGUCUAUAAUUAACGUCCAUGCCCCAACGCCUUCUCGCCGUUCCUCCCCUGAGCGCGCCCCGCGGCUAACCCUAGGGACCGAGUCAGGCUUGCCGGCGUGGCCGCGUCGUGUGCUGUUGGCACCCCACUCCACCUGCUCUGCUGCGCCCCGGUCUCCAACAGCCAUUCUGAGGAACCCAUCUCGCCGCCACCAUCGUCUGCUAUCCUCCAACAAGUGUGCUGCGGUACGCCGAUGUCCUCCCAUCGGCAAGCUCCGCCCCUGCCGGCAUCGUCCACCCACACCAUGUCCUUCUCUUUGCCAAGCAGCGUUAAGAAGCAGCUAGACACUUUGGUUUUGCAGUUCCAAAACUACACAAAAGUUGGAGAGAACGUGUACCAUUACCAUCAGUGGUCGGGGAAUAGAACAUGAAUCAGACAAUUCGUUCUUUGUACAAUCAGAGUUUAGAGGGCAGUAUACUGCAUCACAAUUUUGGUUCUUUUGUUGUUGCUUGUAUAAAUGAUCACCUACAUUGUAGGGGCUUCUCCCUAUACUGGGCUUUAGAAUGUGUCGCAACUAAAAGUCAAGGAAUUUUUUCAGUCGAAUAAAAUUUAGUAACUAGCCUUUUCAUAUUGAUCUUUAUCUGCAGCGUGAUGGGUGUGGACAAAAACAUGUGGUGUUACCUUACAGUAUGUACUUUAUCUUCCUUUAUGCCGCAUACAUAAUGGAAUUAGAAAGUAUAUUUUAAGUAUAUUAAAACUAGCCUGUCCCUUCCUUUUAGUGUACUGAAUUAGUUCUUAUAAUCUAAUCAAGUGUACACUUAUCUGUUGUCUGUACUAUAGCGGUGAUUAUCAGAAGUCCAAGACCACACUGUAGGCAGGAAAAAGGAAUGUUCUUGUAGGUUGCUCGCGGGUGACUUCUCAGGUGUCACGGCGCUUGCAUUGUAGAUUAGUAGAGGGAAUAUUGAGACGACGAGGAGAGGCGACUUAACUGCAGUCCGCACAACACCAUGAACCAGGGUAAAGAGGUCAAUCUCUUCCGAUACACAAUUGUUGAGGUGUUCAAAAAUCUUAGUGAGAGAGGACAUUGACGGUGCGAGAAUGGAACAUAACGAGUUUUUUUUUUGUGUGUGUGUGCAUUACCGAAACGUUGCACGACAUGUUCUUGAAGUCCGCCCUCUCAUUGAUUGGAACGGGGUGAGAGUUGUGGAAUUUUUGCUGUGACCACCUGGACUAAGAUGACAGGGCUGACAAAGAUGAAGCCAAGUUGAAGAUUCAGAGUUGCUAGGCAGGCACAGUUAACAGGGAUAAGAAACUAUAGAAGAUUUAUCAAAUCAGACAUGGGCUUGGUUAUGCAAUGAUUCAUUGGGAUCUGAGAUAAUUUCUGCCUGGAGCAGAAGGUUAUAGGGGUGGCCCAGAUAUCAUGGAGAGGCGCCGUGCUCGGUCCAGUAGGAGCUCCGGGUCAACACUGGGGCUGCGUGGUGGGCAUGAACCAUGGCGACUGCCUUCCGGCUUUAUUCUGUUGGCUCGUACAUUUGCCGCUGGCUAUUCUUACAGAAUCAUGAAUUAGACUUAGGAGAAUUGGCAAGUCAUCACAUGAAUUUUUUUAAACUAUGAGGUGCUACAGGUUUUGUCAUCCUUGAACCGGUCUGCCCUCAAACAAACCCCUUAGAUGCAGCCAACACCUUGUAGCCCACACAUUACUCUCUUCAGGUCGCCGUUUUGGACCGUGUAGCGCUGUCGCCCGAGAGCCACACGACUCCCAUAUCGCCCCUCUGGGAGAGCCAUAUUAGGGUGGAUCUGGGCCCAUGCCCGACGAAGAGGGGGUGGCGGAGGGAAGGACUGCUGGUGGUGGGAGUCAUUUCGUGGCGACGACUGGUGAAGCGUGGAAAAGGUCAGGGAGGUGGACUAUUAGGGGAAUGACAGUGACACCGCCGCUGCUUUCUCUCCUUCUCGAGACACCAUCAUUGUGAGCAAAGGAGGCCGUGUUGCUAUCUCUGUUUUGUCACGGAAUCAAAAGCACAUUGUGGUGUUUGCCCUCGGCUACGAUGAUGUGCAUUUCUUGGCACCGAGAAUAAGCUUGGGACACUGUGGAUGGGUGAAGAGGGAGUGGGCGAUACCGUGAAGCGAAGGGGAGAUGGCGGUGAGAGGAAGGUACAUGUUGAAUGCCAUGGCGCCGAGGGGAGGCAGCAAUGAGAAGUUUUGGAGGGGAGAGGUUUUGGAGGGGAGAGAUGACGGCGGCGAUGCCCGUGGCAAGGAGAGCAAGCGGAUGGAAUGCGGUGUGAGUGUGAGCGUUGUGUCAUACUAUGAGAGAGUGAAUUGUAUUUUCCAAGACGAGAAGAAAAGGUGUGUGUUUGCUUUUUGAGGGAAAGCAAUUAUUUGCUAUAAAAGUCAUUUUUGAAAAAUAAUUACCAACAAAUGAUUUACAGUUG